UACGUAGGGUGCGAGCGUUGUCCGGAAUUACUGGGCGUAAAGAGCUCGUAGGUGGUUUGUCGCGUUGUUCGUGAAAUCUCACGGCUUAACUGUGAGCGUGCGGGCGAUACGGGCAGACUAGAGUACUGCAGGGGAGACUGGAAUUCCUGGUGUAGCGGUGGGAAAUGCGCAGAUAUCAGGAGGAACACCGGUGGCGAAGGCGGGUCCCUGGGCAGUAACUGACGCUGAGGAGCGAAAGCGUGGGGAGCGAACAGG
rnacentral:rRNA from 1 species